rnacentral:rRNA from 1 species
UACAGAGGUCUCAACCGUUGUUCGGAUUCAUUGGGCGUAAAGGGUGCGUAGGCGGUCGGGUAAGUCGGAUGUGAAAUCUCAGGGCUCAACCCUGAAACUGCAUUCGAUACUGCCUGGCUAGGGUACUGGAGAGGAGACUGGAAUUUACGGUGUAGCAGUGAAAUGCGUAGAUAUCGUAAGGAAGACCAGUGGCGAAGGCGAGUCUCUGGACAGCUCCUGACGCUGAGGCGCGAAGGCUAGGGGAGCAAACGGG